ACAUCCAGAGAACUUAGCAGAGAUGCUUUGGGUGCCUUCGGGAACUCUGAGACAGGUGCUGCAUGGCUGUCGUCAGCUCGUGUUGUGAAAUGUUGGGUUAAGUCCCGNAACGAGCGCAACCCUUAUCCUUUGUUGCCAGCGGUUCGGCCGGGAACUCAAAGGAGACUGCCGGUGAUAAACCGGAGGAAGGUGGGGAUGACGUCAAGUCAUCAUGGCCCUUACGGCCAGGGCUACACACGUGCUACAAUGGCGCAUACAAAGAGAAGCGACCUCGCGAGAGCAAGCGGACCUCAUAAAGUGCGUCGUAGUCCGGAUUGGAGUCUGCAACUCGACUCCAUGAAGUCGGAAUCGCUAGUAAUCGUAGAUCAGAAUGCUACGGUGAAUACGUUCCCGGGCCUUGUACACACCGCCCGUCACACCAUGGGAGUGGGUUGCAAAAGAAGUAGGUAGCUUAACCUUCGGGAGGGCGCUUACCACUUUGUGAUUCAUGACUGGGGUGAAGUCGUAACAAGGUAAGCGUAGCGAG
rnacentral:rRNA from 1 species